GAUGAACGCUAGCUACAGGCUUAACACAUGCAAGUCGAGGGGUAACGAGAGGAAAGCUUGCUUUCCUUGUUGACGACCGGCGCACGGGUGAGUAACGCGUAUCCAACCUGCCCCCAACUAGGGAAUAACCUUGCGAAAGUAAGACUAAUACCCUAUAAUUUCCUCAGAUGUCAUCUGACGAGGAAUAAAGAUUUAUCGGUUGUGGAUGGGGAUGCGUCUGAUUAGCUUGUUGGCGGGGUAACGGCCCACCAAGGCAACGAUCAGUAGGGGUUCUGAGAGGAAGGUCCCCCACAUUGGAACUGGGACACGGUCCAAACUCCUACGGGAGGCAGCAGUGAGGAAUAUUGGUCAAUGGGCGGAAGCCUGAACCAGCCAAGUAGCGUGCAGGAUGACGGCCCUAUGGGUUGUAAACUGCUUUUAUACAGGAAUAAAGUUAGCCACGUGUGGUUAUUUGUAGGUACUGUAUGAAUAAGGACCGGCUAAUUCCGUGCCAGCCGCCGCGGUAACAC
rnacentral:rRNA from 1 species